AUAAAACUGGGUUUCACAAGAACAGAUUAUAUUUUGCAUGUUGAAUGUUCAUGAAAUCAUUGUAUUGGAUAUUUUUUUUUAUUUAAUUUCUCAUUUUUUUCAGCGGUAUCUAUGCGGGAUAUUGUACUGAAUAUUAUGACUGUACGAAGACUUGUGAGAGAGUUGUAAGGACGACUACAAGCUCAUGGAUCUUUUGGGAAAAAACUAAAUACAGAACAGAGAGUUACAGCUGUC